GACGAACGCUGGCGGCGUGCUUAACACAUGCAAGUCGAACGGACAGGCUCUACUUUUGUGUGGUGCUCGAUUGGCGAACGGGUGCGUAACGCGUGAGUACCCUGCCCUUGACUUUGGGAUAACUUCAGGAAACUGGGGCUAAUACCGGAUAGGAGCUCCUGCUGCUUGGUGUUGCUUGGUAAUUUUCGGAGGUUGGGAAUGGCACCGCGGCGUAUCAGAUCGUAGGUGAGGUAGUGGCUUACCAAGGUGAUGACGGAUAGACGAACGGAGAGGGUGACCGGCGACACUGGGGCGGAGACACGGCCCAGAGUCCUGAGGGAGGGCGCAGUAGGGAAUGUUCGGCAAUGGAGGAGAGUAUGACCGAGCAGGGCCGCGUGAGGGAAGAAGGUGUUCGGAGCGUGAAGCUCUGUUGUAAGAGAAGAACGGGUGUGAGAGUGGAAAGUGCACAAUGUGACGGUAUCGGGACAGAAAGGGGCGGCGAACUACGU
rnacentral:rRNA from 1 species